rnacentral:rRNA from 1 species
AUUGAACGCUGGCGGCAGGCCUAACACAUGCAAGUCGAGCGAGCGGCGGACGGGGGAGUAAUGUCUGGGAAACUGCCUGAUGGAGGGGGAUAAAUACUGGAAACGGUAGCUAAUACCGCAUACCAUCAGAUGUGCACAGAUGGGAUUAGCUAGUAGGUGGGGGAACGGCUCACCUAGGCGACGAUCCCUAGCUGGUCUGAGAGGCUGACCAGCCCCACUGGAACUGAGCCACGGCCCAGACUCCUACUGGAGGCAGCAGUGGGGAAUUUUUGACAAUGGGGGAAACCCUGAUCCAGCCAUCCCGCGUGUGCGAUGAAGGCCUUCGGGUUGUAAAGCACUUUUGGCAGGAAAGCGGUACCUGCAGAAUAAGCACCGGCUAACUACGUGCCAGCAGCCGCGGUAAUAC